AUGAGUUCCAUGGAGGGAAGCACUGGGAAGUUUCCAGAACCUGCAGGAGGGGGCACCGGAGCCAGCAGUGUGAAGACGUCGUGGCCAGAGGUCGUCGGGAUGUCUGUUGAGAAGGCCAAGGAGAUCAUACUCAGGGACAAGCCUGAUGCUGAGAUAGAGGUCCUGCCAGUCGAUGCGUGGGUGACCCAGGACUUAAGGCCCGACCGUGUCCAAAUCUUCGUCGCUGUUGCCGACACCCCUACGGUUGGUUAG
rnacentral:rRNA from 1 species